CUCUCCUUCAGCUUCAGCUGCUGGCCCGCAUCCAUGUCCAAAACCCUCUGGGCAUGCUCCAUCUCCGCUGUACACCAGAGAAAUGCAGUCUUGCCGACACCAGACAUCGUCCUCCUCUGGCCCAUGCAGCAAUCACGAGUGUGGGACCUCCGAGACUGCCUGGGAGCACCAAGAACAGAACCCGGGCAGCCGCACCAGGACGGGGAUAUGUGAUGGAGAGUAGGUUACGGCGGACUGGCCCAUACCAACUGGACAGCAACGGGAGGGGGG